rnacentral:lncRNA from 1 species
UCAAAGUUUGUGCUUUUUGUUGCAUGCCCGGAAGGCUGCCGUGACCGAAAGUUACAGUAGCAGAAGAAGAAGUAGCUCCUGAAACCGGAGCGUCCACUGAGCGGCGCCGCAGCCCGCAACUUCCACACACAGCCAGACGGCGUUUCCUCCCUGCAACACGCUGCAGGCCAAUCCGCUCACUCACUCCGUGUUGGGUUACAAUGACAAGGGCCCUGUCUGAACCACGACUUUUAGAAAGAUAAUAUUACAGGCCCACCGCUGAUCCAUCUCCCAGUACACAAUUGAGACUGAGGAGGUUAAAGCACUCUGAACGCAUGGGACCAUAUUGCAGGUGUUUGUGCCUGUGGCAAGGUCUUGGUCUUUUGUUCCCUCCUGCUCCCUCCUCUCCAGCACAAGACGACCGGCAUGCACACAAGACAAGACCUCGGACAGACAGACGCACUGUCUGAGAGGCGGGGCGCGUUUCCACAGGCAGAUGCACAUCCCCCUCCUUUGUUCAAGAUAGCGUUCGCUCCUUUUCCUGAGCUGCAGAAACUUAAUUGCAACAAUCUCCUCUCUAAUGUGUUUCUCCUUUUUAUUUGUCGCUGUCAAAAAAAAUUGAAUUGUCUCUUUUUACAAUAAAUAAAUAAAUCAAAGCGUUUUUCAGUUUUUUUUAUUUAUGUUUGAUCACGGAACUUGGUCAGGCGAUAUUA